GAUGAACGCUGGCGGCGUGCCUAAUACAUGCAAGUCGAGCGAACAGACGAGGAGCUUGCUCCGCUGACGUUAGCGGCGGACGGGUGAGUAACACGUGGAUAACCUACCUAUAAUACUGGGAUAACUUCGGGAAACCGGAGCUAAUACCGGAUAAUAUAUUGAACCGCAUGGUUCAAUAGUGAAAGACGGUUUUGCUGUCACUUAUAGAUGGAUCCGCGCCGCAUUAGCUAGUUGGUAAGGUAACGGCUUACCAAGGCAACGAUGCGUAGCCGAACUGAGAGGCGGAUCGGCCGCACUAGAACUGAGACACGGUCCAGACUACUACGGGAGGCAGCAGUAGGGAAUCUGCCGCAAUGGGCGAAAGCCUGACGGAGCAACGCCGCGUGAGUGAUGAAGGUCUUCGGAUCGUAAAACUCUGUUAUUAGGGAAGAACAAAUGUGUAAGUAACUAUGCACGUCUUGACGGUACCUAAUCAGAAAGCCACGGCUAACUACGUG
rnacentral:rRNA from 1 species